AUUGAACGCUGGCGGCAGGCCUAACACAUGCAAGUCGAACGAGUGGCGGACGGGUGAGUAAUGUCUGGGAAACUGCCUGAUGGAGGGGGAUAACUACUGGAAACGGUAGCUAAUACCGCAUACCAUCGGAUGUGCCCAGAUGGGAUUAGCUAGUAGGUGGGGUAACGGCUCACCUAGGCGACGAUCCCUAGCUGGUCUGAGAGGAUGACCAGCCACACGGGAACUGAGACACGGUCCAGACUCCUAUGGGAGGCGGGAGUGGGGAAUAUUGCACAAGGGGCGCAUGCCUAAUGCAGCCAUGCCGCGUGUAUGAAGAGGGCCUUCGGGUUGUAGAGUGCUUUCAGCGUGGAGGCGUUACCCGCAGAAGAAGCACCGGCUAACUCCGUGCCAGCAGCCGCGGUAAUAC
rnacentral:rRNA from 1 species